GAUGAACGCUGGCGGCGUGCCUAAUACAUGCAAGUCGAGCGAACAGAUGAGGAGCUUGCUUCUCUGAUGUUAGCGGCGGACGGGUGAGUAACACGUGGAUAACCUACCUAUAAGACUGGGAUAACUUCGGGAAACCGGAGCUAAUACCGGAUAAUAUUUUGAACCGCAUGGUUCAAUAGUGAAAGACGGUCUUGCUGUCACUUAUAGAUGGAUCCGCGCUGCAUUAGCUAGUUGGUAAGGUAACGGCUUACCAAGGCAACGAUGCGUAGCCGACCUGAGAGGGUGAUCGGCCACACUGGAACUGAGACACGGUCCAGACUCCUACGGGAGGCAGCAGUAGGGAAUCUUCCGCAAUGGGCGAAAGCCUGACGGAGCAACGCCGCGUGAGUGAUGAAGGUCUUCGGAUCGUAAAACUCUGUUAUUAGGGAAGAACAAAUGUGUAAGUAACUAUGCACGUCUUGACGGUACCUAAUCAGAAAGCCACGGCUAACUACGUG
rnacentral:rRNA from 1 species